rnacentral:rRNA from 1 species
AGAGUUUGAUCAUGGCUCAGGAUGAACGCUAGCUACAGGCUUAACACAUGCAAGUCGAGGGGCAGCAUGAUCGAAGCUUGCUUUGAUUGAUGGCGACCGGCGCACGGGUGAGUAACGCGUAUCCAACCUUCCCUAUAGUAGAGGAUAGCCCGGCGAAAGUCGGAUUAAUACUCUAUGUUUUCCGAAGCAGACAUCUAAUUUGGAACAAAGGUUUACCGCUAUAGGAUGGGGAUGCGUCUGAUUAGGUUGUUGGCGGGGUAACGGCCCACCAAGCCUACGAUCAGUAGGGGUUCUGAGAGGAAGGUCCCCCACAUUGGAACUGAGACACGGUCCAAACUCCUACGGGAGGCAGCAGUGAGGAAUAUUGGUCAAUGGUCGAGAGACUGAACCAGCCAAGUAGCGUGAAGGAAGACUGCCCUAUGGGUUGUAAACUUCUUUUGUUUGGGAAUAAAGUGGGUCACGUGUGGCCUUUUGUAUGUACCAUACGAAUAAGCAUCGGCUAAUUCCGUGCCAGCAGCCGCGGUAAUACGGAAGAUGCGAGCGUUAUCCGGAUUUAUUGGGUUUAAAGGGAGCGUAGGCGGCCUGUUAAGUCAGCGGUUAAAUGUCAGUGCCCAACAUUGGCAUGCCGUUGAUACUGGUGGGCUUGAAUACACACAAGGAUGGUGGAAUUCGUCGUGUAGCGGUGAAAUGCUUAGAUAUGACGAAGAACUCCGAUUGCGAAGGCAGCCAUCUGGGGUGCGAUUGACGCUGAGGCUCGAAAGUGCGGGAAUCAAACAGGAUUAGAUACCCUGGUAGUCCGCACCGUAAACGAUGAAUGCUCGUUCUGGGCGACACACUGUCCGGGACCAAGGGAAACCAUUAAGCAUUCCACCUGGGGAGUACGCCGGCAACGGUGAAACUCAAAGGAAUUGACGGGGGCCCGCACAAGCGGAGGAACAUGUGGUUUAAUUCGGUGAUACGCGAGGAACCUUACCCGGGCUUGAACUGCAGGAGAAGGAUACAGAGAUGUUGACGUCCUUCGGGACUCCUGUGGAGGUGCUGCAUGGUUGUCGUCAGCUCGUGCCGUGAGGUGUCGGCUUAAGUGCCAUAACGAGCGCAACCCUUUUCGCCAGUUGCCAUCAGGUGAUGCUGGGCACUCUGGGGAUACUGCCACCGUAAGGUGUGAGGAAGGUGGGGAUGACGUCAAAUCAGCACGGCCCUUACGUCCGGGGCUACAUACGUGUUACAAUGGGGAGUACAGAGAGUCGGUCGCACGCAAGUACGAUCCAAUCAUGAAAGCUCUCCUCAGUUCGGAUUGGGGUCUGCAACCCGACCCCAUGAAGCUGGAUUCGCUAGUAAUCGCGCAUCAGCCAUGGCGCGGUGAAUACGUUCCCGGGCCUUGUACACACCGCCCGUCAAGCCAUGAAAGCCGGGGGCGCUUGAAGUCCGUGACCGCAAGGAUCGGCCUAGAGCGAAACUGGUAAUUGGGGCUAAGUCGUAACAAGGUAACCGUA